AGUGAACGCUGGCGGCGUGCUUAACACAUGCAAGUCGAACGAGAACGGAUUAUAGCUUGCUAUAAUUGUCAGCUAAGUGGCGCACGGGUGCGUAAUGUAUAGGUAAUAUGCCUCUUACUAAGGGAUAACAAAUGGAAACGUUUGCUAAUACCUUAUACUCCUUAUUAACAGAAGUUAAUAAGGGAAAGCUUUAUUUGUAAGAGAUUAGCCUGUAUUGUAUCAGUUAGUUGGUGGGGUAAUGGCUUACCAAGACUAUGACACAUAACUGGUUUGAGCAGAUGAUCAGUCACACUGGAACUGAGACACGGUGCAGACUCCUACGGGAGGCAGCAGUGGGGAAUAUUGCACAAUGGACGAAAGUCUGAUGCAGCAGCGCCGCGUGGAGGAUGGCACAUUUCGGUGCGUAAACUCCCUUUAUAUGAGAAGAUAAUGACGGUAUUAUAUGAAUAAGCACCGGCUAACUCCGUGCCAGCCGCCGCCGUAA
rnacentral:rRNA from 1 species